AUGAAGUCUCUAGCCCUCUUCCUCUUUGUCUUCUCCCUUAUUAAGCCAGGAUUUUCUGAAAACCGCUUGACGGAGUCUGGUGGGGGGGCAUGGAAACCUGGAGCAUCUCUCCGGCUGACCUGCGUGGUCUCUGGGUAUAGCAUCACUUCUGGUGCUGGAUUGAACUGGAUCCGCCAGCCACCCCAGAAGGGGCUGGAAUGGGUAGGGAGGGGAUACUACAGUGGUUCGACCUGGUACACAAGUUACGGCUCAGCUUUCCAGAGCAGGACCUCCAUCACUACUGAUGCCUCCAAGAAUGAAUUCUACCUCGAGCUGAGGUCCCUGAUAGCUGCCGACACAGCCGUGUAUUACUGUGCUCGAGGAUCACAGUGA